rnacentral:rRNA from 1 species
AGCAGCCGCGGUAAUUCCAGCUCCAAUAGCAUAUAUUAAAGUUGUUGCAAGUUAAAAAGCUCGUAGUUGAAUUUCGGAAUUUGUCGGUUGGUCGGGCUUCACUGUCCGCACUGACCUGAUGAAUUCCUACCUUCUGAAUAACCAGCAUGCUAUUAAGUUAGUGCGUUGGGGAAGCAGAGCUAUUACCUUAGAAAAAAUUAGAGUGCUUAAAGCAGGCUUGUGCUUGAAUAGAUUAGCAUGGAAUAAUAAAAUAGGACGGCAUGGUUCUAUUUUGUUGGUUUCUAGGAUCACCGUAAUGAUUAAUAGGGAUAGGUUGGGGGCAUUAGUAUUCAAUUGUCAGAGGUGAAAUUCUUGGAUUUAUUGAAGACUAACUUCUGCGAAAGCAUUUGCCAAGGAUGUUUUCAUUAAUCAAGAACGAAAGUUAGGGGAUCGAAGACGAUCAGAUACCGUCGUAGUCUUAACCAUAAACUAUGCCGACUAGGGAUCGGACGGAUGUUUAAUUUUUAAUGACUCGUUUCC